ACACUCUAUGAAUGGUUGAAUGAAAGAACGAAUGCCGCUCCUUUCUAACUAUAUAGAAAAGAUAGAGUAGGAAAUAACAAAAAUGUCAAAAAUAACACUGCAAAAUUUAAGUGUCCUAGAACAGUGCUUAAAGCUGAAUUAACAUGAUGAUUUUAAAUUUGUAUUGUUUAUUUCUUGUCAUUGCGACUUUGACGCAGCUGUUGUCAUGACAACAGAUAACAAAACAUGUUUUGUUGAAGGAUUAUUGAUGAAUAAUUUUCCACAAAAAAUUGGAUUUUAACCACGAUAGGAAAAUGAGAGCCUGCGCCUAUCCGUUUAAACCGAUUGUAGAAUUUAUGGAAAGAUAUGGCGAUCUGAGUAAGCCCACUGAAGGGCCCCAAGAAAGAGCCAACAAUAGUCAACGGUGGGUGGAACUAACGGACACGCGAACGUGAAAUGCUGAUGCCACCGGCGACACGAAAACUACUGAGAAAUUGAGAAAAGUGUGGAGUGACUUUAAACAUCAAGAAGAAGGCAACUCGCAUACACAGAGCUACCAAGGGAACACUGGACUAGUGGCGGUCCAGGUUCUUCCCUGAAGCCAAAGGAUUUAGAGCAGAGUGCUUGUAAAUAACUACUUGUAAAUUAAAUCCAUAAUAAAGACCUAGGGUAACUGGAUGGAUAUACCUACCUUAUUAUUGUAAAACUUAAGAUAUUAUAAUUAAUUAAAUACA